AUAUUAAUAAGCGGAGGAAAAGAAACUAACUAGGAUUCCCAUAGUAAUGGCGAACGAAGUGGGAAAAGCUCAAUGUUGGAAUCCUUCGGGAAUUGUAGUUUACCGAGGUGUUUUAAGGUGCAGGAGAAUGAGCAAGUCUCUUGGAAAAGAGCAUUACAAAGGGUGAUAAUCCCGUAGCUCAAUCUCUGUGUACUGUACUAGGCACUUUUGGAGAGUCAGGUUGUUUGGGAAUGCAACCUAAAUGGGGUGGUAGGCAUCAUCCAAAGCUAAAUAUAGACACGAGACCGAUAGCGCACAAGUA
rnacentral:rRNA from 1 species